rnacentral:rRNA from 1 species
GAUGAACGCUAGCUACAGGCUUAACACAUGCAAGUCGAGGGGCAGCGGGAUUGAAGCUUGCUUCAAUUGCCGGCGACCGGCGCACGGGUGAGUAACGCGUAUCCAACCUUCCGUACACUCAGGGAUAGCCUUUCGAAAGAAAGAUUAAUACCUGAUGGUAUGAUGAGAUUGCAUGAUAGCAUCAUUAAAGAUUUAUCGGUGUACGAUGGGGAUGCGUUCCAUUAGGUAGUAGGCGGGGUAACGGCCCACCUAGCCGACGAUGGAUAGGGGUUCUGAGAGGAAGGUCCCCACAUUGGAACUGAGACACGGUCCAAACUCCUACGGGAGGCAGCAGUGAGGAAUAUGGUCAAUGGACGAGAGUCUGAACCAGCCAAGUAGCGUGAAGGAUGAAGGUCCUACGGAUUGUAAACUUCUUUUAUAAGGGAAUAAACCCUCCCACGUGUGGGAGCUUGUAUGUACCUUAUGAAUAAGCAUCGGCUAACUCCGU